AGCGAAUGCAGGCUUUCGCUGAAGCCUGGAGAGCGAGAGGCAUCGGUGCGCACCGGCCCUCUCGCUCUCCAGGCUUCAGGAAGCUAUCCGCAAGCCUUGCAAGCCCGGUGGGAGUUCCCGCGGGCUCACAAGGCUUGCA